UAAAAACCCCGACUUCGGAAGGGGUGUAUUUAUUAGAUACAAAACCAAUGCCCUUCGGGGCUCUUUGGUGAUUCAUGAUAACUAUACGAAUCGCACGGCCUUGCGCCGGCGAUGGUUCAUUCAAAUUUCUUCCCUAUCAACUUUCGAUGUUUGGGUAUUGGCCAAACAUGGUUGCAACGGGUAACGGAGGGUUAGGGCUCGACCCCGGAGAAGGAGCCUGAGAAACGGCUACUACAUCCAAGGAAGGCAGCAGGCGCGCAAAUUACCCAAUCCCGACUCGGGGAGGUAGUGACAAUAAAUACUGAUACAGGGCCCAUUCGGGCCCUGUAAUUGGAAUGAGUACAAUUUAAAUCCCUUAACGAGGAACAAUUGGAGGGCAAGUCUGGUGCCAGCAGCCGCGGUAAUUCCAGCUCCAAUAGCGUAUAUUAAAGUUGUUGUGGUUAAAAAGCUCGUAGUUGAACCUUGGGCCUGGCUGGCCGGUCCGCCUCACCGCGUGCACUGGUCCGGCCGGGCCUUUCCCUCUGUGGAACCCCAUACCCUUCACUGGGCGUGGCGGGGAAACAGGACAUUUACUUU
rnacentral:rRNA from 1 species